rnacentral:rRNA from 1 species
CAGGAUGAACGCUAGCGGCAGGCUUAACACAUGCAAGUCGAGGGGGUAGAGGAAGCUUGCUUCCUUGAGACCGGCGCACGGGUGCGUAACGCGUAUACAAUCUACCUUUCACAGAGGGAUAGCCCAGAGAAAUUUGGAUUAAUACCUCAUAGUAUAGCAGUUUCGCAUGAAACCACUAUUAAAGUCACAACGGUGAAAGAUGAGCAUGCGUCCCAUUAGCUAGUUGGUAAGGUAACGGCUUACCAAGGCAACGAUGGGUAGGGGUCCUGAGAGGGAGAUCCCCCACACUGGUACUGAGACACGGACCAGACUCCUACGGGAGGCAGCAGUGAGGAAUAUUGGACAAUGGGCGCAAGCCUGAUCCAGCCAUGCCGCGUGCAGGAUGACGGUCCUAUGGAUUGUAAACUGCUUUUAUACAGGAAGAAACACUACUUCGUGAAGUAGCUUGACGGUACUGUAAGAAUAAGGAUCGGCUAACUCCGUG